UACAGAGGGUGCAAGCGUUGUUCGGAAUUAUUGGGCGUAAAGCGCGUGUAGGCGGCUUUGCAAGUCGGGUGUGAAAGCCCUCAGCUCAACUGAGGAAGUGCGCCCGAAACUGCAGAGCUUGAGUGCCGGAGAGGGUGGCGGAAUUCCCCAAGUAGAGGUGAAAUUCGUAGAUAUGGGGAGGAACACCGGUGGCGAAGGCGGCCGACCUGG
rnacentral:rRNA from 1 species